GUUACAUUACUGGAGGACCGUGGAUUCCACAUGAUACAAUAUUUACAUUACUAAGCCAUUGGAAACUUACCUCUGAAAAUCUGUGACUUCAGCUAGCAAUGAACACCGUUUUUAAAAUAGUUCUUUAUAUUCUCCCUCUCUUUUCACCCGGCUGUUUUUUUAAUUUUAUAUAUCUUUUUUCCCCAAAAGGAACUAGUGAAGUUCAAAGGCAGCCCAACUCACUCAGAACUGCUGGAGAAGUAGUGUCUUUUGUUGUUCAUACAUUUGACAGCUGUGCUAAACGUUUACAAAGGGCCUUUUGUCUCUGCUAUUUAUACUGUCUCUUAUAACAUUUCUCAAACCCACACACUUGUAUGAUUAUCAAAACUAAUACUUCCUACAGCAGUUUGGAUUCAAUCCACAGAUGAAGGAAGUCAACAGAUCCCUCUUUAUAGUGUGAAAAAUAUGAAAAAUCUCUGCAUCAGUGAUCACAUCAUAUCUCUAGGAGCCCACACUUGAGCUCAUUUACCACUCAAUGAACUGGAGAAGUGCCAUCAUGGAGUAGAGAGAAAGAAUGCAUUUGAAGAAUAUAUCAUCUUCCCCCCCAAAAGACUCUCCUUUAGAACCAACCUCACUCUCAGGAACUGCACAGGACUAGUUUUGCUUUCAUGGGGUGGCAGUUUUUUCCAUGCCAACCAAAGAGCACAGCUGGUUUUGCAGAUUGGGGAUUGGUGAAGUGGUUGAUGAUGUUACAAAGGCCCUGGUUUCCCAUAUCUAACUUAGCAAUGGGUUGAACUACAGAGGGGAACCGCGUAUAGAGGUUUGAGGGGAGGCUAUGGGCAAGGCAAGAAGUAGCGUGUGAUGCCAAGGAAUGGACAAAGGAAGUAAUGCUUAUGGCAAAGCAUGGCAAAGAAGGAUAAAUAGCGUGCGAUGCCAAGGAAUGGACAAAGGAAGGAAGUAAUACUUAUGGCAAAGCAUGGCAAAGAAGGAUAAAAUAAGAAGUUGGUCACACACUGAGUUCUUAUGGCCGCCUAUAUUUGCACAUACUCACCAUUUGAAGUACAAAGAGGAAGAGAAAGAAUGGAAGGAAACAUGUUUAAAAGACCAGUGGGUAGGAAGCAUCUUUCAUCAUUACUACAAGAUGGUAAUUAAAGGUGAGGUUUCUGUAUUGAAGGAACUGCAGAGAAAAUGUGUUAGAGGUUGUAAGGGAUGGCAUGAACGGGUUUUCUGAAAUGAUGUGAUUAUGGAAUUGAGAAGGUAUUCUUCAGUAUUUGGGGGGGAAAGUGGUAUAAGGAAAGAUAGUAGGCUAGGAAUGGGCAUGAACUGUGUGUGGUUCAGUGCUUUAGCGCUAGUAGGACAAGAAGGCCGGUGGACUAAAACAUGAAGAGGUAAGGAGAAAAGUAGAGGAGGAGAUUAGACAAGUGAUAUUCUGUAGCAUGAAAGCAGAGGCUGCAAGUGGGAAAAACCAGUUGAGUGAAAGGUAUGCCAGACCGUGGUCAUGAUGAAUCAAAAGGCGCUCACAAUAUUUGUAUACAUGAAGAUACACAGUAAAGCUGCCUUACACUGAUGGCCCAGCUAGCUCAAUGGUGAGCAAA
ensembl:lncRNA